GAUGUCAGAUCAAAGAGUAAAACACCUAAACCAACAUUCAAACCAUCUUCUGCAUCAACUUCUGCAGCUGAAUCCACAACAACCACAGGAUCAGUUCUGUCAACAUUCAAACCAUCAACUACAGCAGAUCAUGUCUCUAAAACAGGUGUUUGGUGGAGGAUCAUCUAUGUUCCUGUGGGUGUAGCAGCACUCUCAGUCAUCACUGUAUCAGUCUGGAUCUGGACCAGAACAUGAGGAGCAGAAUGAAGAAGUCUUUGAAGAUCUGAUGAUUCUCCUUCAAUGAUGAACACAUUCUAAAGUCAUCUUCAUUUUUCAUCACCAAAUGAUGAAACACCAGCUUUAGAUCAUGAUAGAAAUUAAUCUAUGCUGUCUGAAUUAAUCUGAAAGUUGUUUGUUAUUUUAAAUAAAUGUAAGAAUGUUGUUUCUCAACAAUAAAGUUAAAUCUAG